GAGAGUAUAGCUCAGUGGUAGAGCACGUGCUUAGCUUGCUUGAGGUCCUGGGUUCAACCUCCAGUACCUCCG
rnacentral:tRNA from 1 species